UUAAGCGACUAAGCGUACACGGUGGAUGCCCUGGCAGUCAGAGGCGAUGAAGGACGUGCUAAUCUGCGAUAAGCGUCGGUGAGGUGAUAUGAACCGUUAUAACCGGCGAUUUCCGAAUGGGGAAACCCAGUGUGUUUCGACACACUAUCAUUAACUGAAUCCAUAGGUUAAUGAGGCGAACCGGGGGAACUGAAACAUCUAAGUACCCCGAGGAAAAGAAAUCAACCGAGAUUCCCCCAGUAGCGGCGAGCGAACGGGGAGGAGCCCAGAGCCUGAAUCAGUGUGUGUGUUAGUGGAAGCGUCUGGAAAGGCGCGCGAUACAGGGUGACAGCCCCGUACACAAAAAUGCACAUAUUGUGAGCUCGAUGAGUAGGGCGGGACACGUGGUAUCCUGUCUGAAUAUGGGGGGACCAUCCUCCAAGGCUAAAUACUCCUGACUGACCGAUAGUGAACCAGUACCGUGAGGGAAAGGCGAAAAGAACCCCGGCGAGGGGAGUGAAAAAGAACCUGAAACCGUGUACGUACAAGCAGUGGGAGCCUCUUAAUGGGGUGACUGCGUACCUUUUGUAUAAUGGGUCAGCGACUUAUAUUCUGUAGCAAGGUUAACCGAAUAGGGGAGCCGAAGGGAAACCGAGUCUUAACUGGGCGUUAAGUUGCAGGGUAUAGACCCGAAACCCGGUGAUCUAGCCAUGGGCAGGUUGAAGGUUGGGUAACACUAACUGGAGGACCGAACCGACUAAUGUUGAAAAAUUAGCGGAUGACUUGUGGCUGGGGGUGAAAGGCCAAUCAAACCGGGAGAUAGCUGGUUCUCCCCGAAAGCUAUUUAGGUAGCGCCUCGUGAAUUCAUCUCCGGGGGUAGAGCACUGUUUCGGCAAGGGGGUCAUCCCGACUUACCAACCCGAUGCAAACUGCGAAUACCGGAGAAUGUUAUCACGGGAGACACACGGCGGGUGCUAACGUCCGUCGUGAAGAGGGAAACAACCCAGACCGCCAGCUAAGGUCCCAAAGUCAUGGUUAAGUGGGAAACGAUGUGGGAAGGCCCAGACAGCCAGGAUGUUGGCUUAGAAGCAGCCAUCAUUUAAAGAAAGCGUAAUAGCUCACUGGUCGAGUCGGCCUGCGCGGAAGAUGUAACGGGGCUAAACCAUGCACCGAAGCUGCGGCAGCGACACUAUGUGUUGUUGGGUAGGGGAGCGUUCUGUAAGCCUGUGAAGGUGGCCUGUGAGGGUUGCUGGAGGUAUCAGAAGUGCGAAUGCUGACAUAAGUAACGAUAAAGCGGGUGAAAAGCCCGCUCGCCGGAAGACCAAGGGUUCCUGUCCAACGUUAAUCGGGGCAGGGUGAGUCGACCCCUAAGGCGAGGCCGAAAGGCGUAGUCGAUGGGAAACAGGUUAAUAUUCCUGUACUUGGUGUUACUGCGAAGGGGGGACGGAGAAGGCUAUGUUGGCCGGGCGACGGUUGUCCCGGUUUAAGCGUGUAGGCUGGUUUUCCAGGCAAAUCCGGAAAACCAAGGCUGAGGCGUGAUGACGAAGCACUACGGUGCUGAAGCGACAAAUGCCCUGCUUCCAGGAAAAGCCUCUAAGCAUCAGGUAACAUCAAAUCGUACCCCAAACCGACACAGGUGGUCAGGUAGAGAAUACCAAGGCGCUUGAGAGAACUCGGGUGAAGGAACUAGGCAAAAUGGUGCCGUAACUUCGGGAGAAGGCACGCUGAUAUGUAGGUGAAGCGACUUGCUCGUGGAGCUGAAAUCAGUCGAAGAUACCAGCUGGCUGCAACUGUUUAUUAAAAACACAGCACUGUGCAAACACGAAAGUGGACGUAUACGGUGUGACGCCUGCCCGGUGCCGGAAGGUUAAUUGAUGGGGUUAGCGGUAACGCGAAGCUCUUGAUCGAAGCCCCGGUAAACGGCGGCCGUAACUAUAACGGUCCUAAGGUAGCGAAAUUCCUUGUCGGGUAAGUUCCGACCUGCACGAAUGGCGUAAUGAUGGCCAGGCUGUCUCCACCCGAGACUCAGUGAAAUUGAACUCGCUGUGAAGAUGCAGUGUACCCGCGGCAAGACGGAAAGACCCCGUGAACCUUUACUAUAGCUUGACACUGAACAUUGAGCCUUGAUGUGUAGGAUAGGUGGGAGGCUUUGAAGUGUGGACGCCAGUCUGCAUGGAGCCGACCUUGAAAUACCACCCUUUAAUGUUUGAUGUUCUAACGUUGGCCCGUAAUCCGGGUUGCGGACAGUGUCUGGUGGGUAGUUUGACUGGGGCGGUCUCCUCCUAAAGAGUAACGGAGGAGCACGAAGGUUGGCUAAUCCUGGUCGGACAUCAGGAGGUUAGUGCAAUGGCAUAAGCCAGCUUGACUGCGAGCGUGACGGCGCGAGCAGGUGCGAAAGCAGGUCAUAGUGAUCCGGUGGUUCUGAAUGGAAGGGCCAUCGCUCAACGGAUAAAAGGUACUCCGGGGAUAACAGGCUGAUACCGCCCAAGAGUUCAUAUCGACGGCGGUGUUUGGCACCUCGAUGUCGGCUCAUCACAUCCUGGGGCUGAAGUAGGUCCCAAGGGUAUGGCUGUUCGCCAUUUAAAGUGGUACGCGAGCUGGGUUUAGAACGUCGUGAGACAGUUCGGUCCCUAUCUGCCGUGGGCGCUGGAGAACUGAGGGGGGCUGCUCCUAGUACGAGAGGACCGGAGUGGACGCAUCACUGGUGUUCGGGUUGUCAUGCCAAUGGCACUGCCCGGUAGCUAAAUGCGGAAGAGAUAAGUGCUGAAAGCAUCUAAGCACGAAACUUGCCCCGAGAUGAGUUCUCCCUGAGACUUAGAGUCUCCUGAAGGAACGUUGAAGACGACGACGUUGAUAGGCCGGGUGUGUAAGCGCAGCGAUGCGUUGAGCUAACCGGUACUAAUGAACCGUGAGGCUUAACCUU
rnacentral:rRNA from 1 species